rnacentral:lncRNA from 1 species
CCAAUACCUAUUUCUCCCUCCAGCCUUCACACUCUUGUAGUUUAAGAAUGAGAUAAUCUUGUAGCUGCUGGGAGUUUCCAUGAAGGGGGACUGGCCCAGGAAUGAGGUCAACCAGAGAAAAGUAGAGCCCUGAGAGAGGGACUAGGUCCUGAAGACUUCAUUUAAGACACAGGAUCCAGCCUUGCUUGAUGUCAUUACUCCUAGACUUUCACGUACAAGAGCCAAAAAAUUGUCUUUUCUUCCCCCUUAACCCAGGGCUCCUGCAACCAAAAGAACACUUGACUGUGGCAUCUUUCCAGCCUCCUGUUAGCAGCUAGGUAAGGUGCCCCCAUGGCAAGGAGCUGCGGGCAGCCUCAAGAAACUGGGUGGCCUCUUAGGACCUGAGGGCAGCCUCCAACAAGCAAGCAGCAAACCUCUGGGGCCUUCUGUUCUACAACUGCAAGGAAAUAAAUUCUGCCAACAGCCUGAAUGAGCACGGAAGUGAACUCUUUCUCAGUCGAGCCUCUGAAUGAGAACACAGUUCAACUCAUGCCUUGACUGCAGCUUGUGAGAGUCUGAGAAGAGGACCAGGAGCAACUCUAGUUGACUCUCCACUCCCACGCUGCAGGAAUUGACGGCGCACAGGGAACAGUUUCUACUGCUGUCCUUCCCGUUACCUCCUCCAAUGGGGCUUCAGUCACCACCUCUCUGGAAGGUGAUGAUGGUCGGCAGCUCCAUAUCGCCAGCCGUGACUCUGCCCUGAAAUCUAGCCCAAGGGAGCCAACUGCCUGUUUUGUCAGAUGGUGGUAAGCUCUGUGAAGGAAC